rnacentral:tRNA from 1 species
UCCGUGAAACAAAGCGGAUGUACCGGAUUUUUAUUCCGGCUAUGGGGCAAUUCCCCGUCGCGGAGCCA